rnacentral:rRNA from 1 species
UACGUAGGGUGCAAGCGUUGUCCGGAAUUAUUGGGCGUAAAGAGCUCGUAGGUGGCCUGUCGCGUCGGCUGUGAAAACUCGGGGCUCAACUCCGAGCUUGCAGUCGAUACGGGCAGGCUAGAGUUCGGCAGGGGAGACUGGAAUUCCUGGUGUAGCGGUGAAAUGCGUAGAUAUCAGGAGGAACACCGGUGGUGUAGACGGCUUUCUGGACCGUAACUGACGCUGAAACACGAAAGCGUGGGUAGCAAACAGG